rnacentral:rRNA from 1 species
UACGGAGGGGGUUAGCGUUGUUCGGAAUGACUGGGCGUAAAGCGCGCGUAGGCGGAUCAGGAAGUUGGGGGUGAAAUCCCGGGGCUCAACCCCGGAAUGGCCUUCAAAACUCCUGGUCUUGAGUUCGAGAGAGGUGAGUGGAAUUCCGAGUGUAGAGGUGAAAUUCGUAGAUAUUCGGAGGAACACCAGUGGCGAAGGCGGCUCACUGGCUCGACACUGACGCUGAGGUGCGAAAGCGUGGGGAGCAA